AUAUCUUCUAUCUUCUUCUAUCCGUGCCUUCCCUCGCCUCCCGUUAGCAGCCGCCAGGAGGAGCUCUAUCCGGUGCCGCGUCUGCCACGGUCAGCGAGAGGAGAAGGUGACGCGGUGAGGGACUAGCUCGUCCCGGUUGAGGCGCGCCGGAUCCGCCAGUCCAUCCCCGCUCCCCGUCCGCCUCGACCUCCACCGGAAGCGCUGGAGAGGGUGGAGGCACGCAGGUGUUGCUCGCCUGCCUCUCAGCCGAAAUUAAGAGAUGGGGGAGGAUGGUGGGCAUGUGGAACGGGGUGCCACCAAAGGUUCCGGGAGAAUUUCCUUCCCCACCAUGGGCGGCCGCCUGAUCCCCUCCGUGCCGCCACUCCGGACGGGCACCGACGACUCCCACGGGAUCCGGAGGGUCAUGGGCCUGGAUGUUGGGUAGUAGCUGCGGAGGACGGGGUGAAUGUUGAGGUGGGCACUGGCUGGCUCUGCCGUUGCUAAUUUGUACGCACCGUCCAUGUGCUUGUGCACUGGGGUGUGAUUGGAACGGACUUACACGGGGCUUGAUGUUGCCGCUGGUGAUCUUACAUUGUUCCUUUUCAUGGUGAUUAGAAUGGGUAUAGCGCCAACGAUUGCAUCUGUUUGCUCCUGCUAGGACACGGGAUUGUCUGCUAUGUCCGCCUUUGCGAGAUUUGCAGCUAUUGGGAUGGCAAUUGGACUAAUCUCCUGUAGGCGCUAGAAGACUGAGUACUUGGCAGCUCUUCUAGGAUUGGUGAAAGAAGGCGAGUAAAUGCUAAAAUUUGAUGUUCUAUUUGUGUUUUGGUUUUGUUGGUUGACAAUUAUGUUUAUUUUUUUCGUUUCAUGGAUGUCGUAAAAUGUGCAGGUGGUGAGUUGAGGCUCAGCGUACAGUUUGUUUGGACUAACCAAGAGGACGAGAGAGGCCUGGUGCAGCGAGGUGGAGGAGGAUCUCCAACAUAGAUGCCUGGGAGGAGGAGAGGCCAUGGUGCUUGGUGCACGCUCUGCCAAUGGGAGUUCAUGAGGACGGGCAUCGGGAAUGGCUAAGCAGGGGACAACCAGGAUUACGAUGAGGGUGAGACAUCGAAGCCGGCGUCGGCAACUGUGACUGCGACUGCGACCUACAGUGUUGGCCUUGUGUUUCUGACCUGUCGCGCUCCGGUUCUGGCAGCUGCCGUUCCAAUCAAUCACCUCCAGGAGACCAGGAGCCUUCAGAUUGCUAAUGAUACUAUGCUUGCAUGAGCCCAUGAAACAAGCAAUAAUCUAUCUUAAAAUUUGCAUCCAGGCAUAUAACGGUUCAACAACUUUCGAGCUUUGACUAUGGUUAUGUAGCACGCUGACAAGACAAGAGAAUAAUGCCUCUUAAGGCAUUUGUCCGAGCUAUGCCGCCUCUCGUCAAACUCGAGCUCGACGGUCCGUCUACAGUCAAGCACAAUCCGCACAUGAUCUCCUCCCAGCUUUCGACAUGUUAUUCUUGCAUGCAAGGCUAAGCUAUCUCCACCAGCUCCUUUUUGUCCUAGCUCUUCCCUACCCUGGCAAAACCAAAUGCUACCAUCUCGUUUUUUUGCCAUGCUAAAACUUAUGUGCGUUCAUCGUCAUGGAUAGAUUAGCAACUGCCAAGCAAUCUGUCACAAAAACAUGUCAGGCAGCUAGGCAUGCGAGUGACAUGUGUGUCGGUAAGAUUGGAUGUUUGUGUGUAAAUGUAAAUCACGAAAAAUGAUCCUUGGUAUCUAGAGAAGAAACACACACACACACGAGAGAGUAAUUCAUAGUGGAUAACUGGAUAUAAAAUACCUAUUAAUGUUGUACGUGAGUUGACUCGACAUGCUGCAAGAUCUUCUGAUUUGUUCUCUGAAGGUGGCCUCCGAGUAUAGCGUUGCAUAUUCCUGAAGCAAUUGUGAUGCUCUGUUUUGUUAGGAUUAAGAUGCUUGAACAUGUAAGCAGUACACUAUCGAGCAAUAGAGAUCUUUCUCAUGC